GAUGAACGCUGGCGGCGUGCCUAAUACAUGCAAGUCGAGCGAACGGACGAGAAGCUUGCUUCUCUGAUGUUAGCGGCGGACGGGUGAGUAACACGUGGAUAACCUACCUAUAAGACUGGGAUAACUUCGGGAAACCGGAGCUAAUACCGGAUAAUAUUUUGAACCGCAUGGUUCAAAAGUGAAAGACGGUCUUGCUGUCACUUAUAGAUGGAUCCGCGCUGCAUUAGCUAGUUGGUAAGGUAACGGCUUACCAAGGCAACGAUGCAUAGCCGACCUGAGAGGGUGAUCGGCCACACUGGAACCGAGACACGGUCCAGACUCCUACGGGAGGCAGCAGUAGGGAAUCUUCCGCAAUGGGCGAAAGCCUGACGGAGCAACGCCGCGUGAGUGAUGAAGGUCUUCGGAUCGUAAAACUCUGUUAUUAGGGAAGAACAUAUGUGUAAGUAACUGUGCACAUCUUGACGGUACCUAAUCAGAAAGCCACGGCUAACUACCUGCCAGCAGCCGCGGUAAUACGUAGGUGGCAAGCGUUAUCCGGAAUUAUUGGGCGUAAAGCGCGCGUAAGCGGUUUUUAAGUCUGAUGUGAAAGCCCACGGCUCAACCGUGGAGGGUCAUUGGAAACUGGAAAACUUGAGUGCAGAAGAGGAAAGUGGAAUUCCAUGUGUAGCGGUGAAAUGCGCAGAGAUAUGGAGGGACACCAGUGGCGAAGGCGACUUUCUGGUCUGUAACUGACGCUGAUGUGCGAAAGCGUGGGGAUCAAACAGGAUUAGAUACCCUGGUAGUCCACGCCGUAAACGAUGAGUGCUAAGUGUUAGGGGGUUUCCGCCCCUUAGUGCUGCAGCUAACGCAUUAAGCACUCCGCCUGGGGAGUACGACCGCAAGGUUGAAACUCAAAGGAAUUGACGGGGACCCGCACAAGCGGUGGAGCAUGUGGUUUAAUUCGAAGCAACGCGAAGAACCUUACCAAAUCUUGACAUCCUUUGACAACUCUAGAGAUAGAGCCUUCCCCUUCGGGGGACAAAGUGACAGGUGGUGCAUGGUUGUCGUCAGCUCGUGUCGUGAGAUGUUGGGUUAAGUCCCGCAACGAGCGCAACCCUUAAGCUUAGUUGCCAUCAUUAAGUUGGGCACUCUAAGUUGACUGCCGGUGACAAACCGGAGGAAGGUGGGGAUGACGUCAAAUCAUCAUGCCCCUUAUGAUUUGGGCUACACACGUGCUACAAUGGACAAAUACAAAGGGCACCGAAACCCGCGAGGGUCAGCAAAUCCCAUAAAGUUUGUUCCCAGUUCGGAUUGUAGUCUGCAAACUCGACUACAUGAAGUCGGGAAUCCGCUGUAAUUCGUAGAUCAGCAUGGCUACGGUGAAUACGUUCCCGGGUCU
rnacentral:rRNA from 1 species